UACGUGGUGUGGGUCUCAUUUGUGUUCGACAUGGCGGCCCCACAACAACACGUUGUCAUCUUGCUGGUGGUGUUAUUGGUGGUUUUUAUUGUUUCGAUUGCUGUAGGGGAGCCGCACCCUCGUCGCGGGUGGUCGCGCGACUGCUCGCUCCAGUCGCACUGCAGGUUGGGGGACUUUUGCACGUCGGGGAAGUGUGUGUAGAGCAGCCGGUAGCCCGCGUCCUCUCGGAGGUAUUGGGAGAAGUGGGCUCGAUACGUGUCGCCAGUUUGGCACCGAGAUGGCGAUGAGACGGCGACGUUUUGGAGGAGAGAAGUAAAAGAAACCGGAGGAGGGGAAGGACGCGGUUUGGUUUUUGUAUAAUUCGCAUGUGUACAAAAUUUUGUGUAAUAUUUGCAUAUUUGAAAAUGUGGUAUAAAUAAAACCAACUUUUUUGUACGAUGAUGAUCAAAAUAAAAUCUGGAGGGAUUGAAAGUUUGAGA